rnacentral:rRNA from 1 species
AACGAACGCUGGCGGCAUGCCUAACACAUGCAAGUCGAACGAGACCUUCGGGUCUAGUGGCGCACGGGUGCGUAACGCGUGGGAACCUGCCCUUAGGUUCGGAAUAACUCCCUGAAAGGGGGGCUAAUACCGGAUAAUGUCCUCGGACCAAAGAUUUAUCGCCUUUGGAUGGGCCCGCGUUGGAUUAGCUAGUUGGUAGGGUAAAAGCCUACCAAGGCGACGAUCCAUAGCUGGUCUGAGAGGAUGAUCAGCCACACUGGGACUGAGACACGGCCCAGACUCCUACGGGAGGCAGCAGUGGGGAAUAUUGGACAAUGGGCGAAAGCCUGAGCCAGCAAUGCCGCGUGAGUGAUGAAGGCCUUAGGGUUGUAAAGCUCUUUUACCCGGGAUGAUAAUGACAGUACCGGGAGAAUAAGCUCCGGCUAACUCCGUG